rnacentral:rRNA from 1 species
GACGAACGCUGGCGGCGUGCUUAACACAUGCAAGUCGAACGGAAAGGCCCUGCUUUUGUGGGGUGCUCGAGUGGCGAACGGGUGAGCAACACGUGAGUAACCUGCCCUUGACUUUGGGAUAACUUCAGGAAACUGGGGCUAAUACCGGAUAGGAGCUCCUGCUGCAUGGUGGGGGUUGGAAAGUUUCGGCGGUUGGGGAUGGACUCGCGGCUUAUCAGCUUGUUGGUGGGGUAGUGGCUUACCAAGGCUUUGACGGGUAGCCGGCCUGAGAGGGUGACCGGCCACAUUGGGACUGAGAUACGGCCCAGACUCCUACGGGAGGCAGCAGUGGGGAAUAUUGCACAAUGGGCGGAAGCCUGAUGCAGCAACGCCGCGUGCGGGAUGACGGCCUUCGGGUUGUAAACCGCUUUCGCCUGUGACGAAGCGUGAGUGACGGUAAUGGGUAAAGAAGCACCGGCUAACUACGUGCCAGCAGCCGCGGUGAUACGUAGGGUGCGAGCGUUGUCCGGAUUUAUUGGGCGUAAAGGGCUCGUAGGUGGUUGAUCGCGUCGGAAGUGUAAUCUUGGGGCUUAACCCUGAGCGUGCUUUCGAUACGGGUUGACUUGAGGAAGGUAGGGGAGAAUGGAAUUCCUGGGUGGAGCGGUGGAAUGCGCAGAUAUCAGGAGGAACACCAGUGGCGAAGGCGGUUCUCUGGGCCUUUCCUGACGCUGAGGAGCGAAAGCGUGGGGAGCGAACAGGCUUAGAUACCCUGGUAGUCCACGCUGUAAACGGUGGGUACUAGGUGUGGGGUCCAUUCCACGGGUUCCGUGCCGUAGCUAACGCUUUAAGUACCCCGCCUGGGGAGUACGGCCGCAAGGCUAAAACUCAAAGGAAUUGACGGGGCCCCGCACAAGCGGCGGAGCAUGCGGAUUAAUUCGAUGCAACGCGUAGAACCUUACCUGGGUUUGACAUGGAUCGGGAGUGCUCAGAGAUGGGUGUGCCUCUUUUGGGGUCGGUUCACAGGUGGUGCAUGGCUGUCGUCAGCUCGUGUCGUGAGAUGUUGGGUUAAGUCCCGCAACGAGCGCAACCCUUGUUCACUGUUGCCAGCACGUUAUGGUGGGGACUCAGUGGAGACCGCCGGGGUCAACUCGGAGGAAGGUGGGGAUGACGUCAAGUCAUCAUGCCCCUUAUGUCCAGGGCUUCACGCAUGCUACAAUGGCUGGUACAGAGAGUGGCGAGCCUGUGAGGGUGAGCGAAUCUCGGAAAGCCGGUCUCAGUUCGGAUUGGGGUCUGCAACUCGACCUCAUGAAGUCGGAGUCGCUAGUAAUCGCAGAUCAGCAACGCUGCGGUGAAUACGUUCCCGGG